rnacentral:rRNA from 1 species
CAUAGGUUAAUGAGGCGAACCGGGGGAACUGAAACAUCUAAGUACCCCGAGGAAAAGAAAUCAACCGAGAUUCCCCCAGUAGCGGCGAGCGAACGGGGAGCAGCCCAGAGCCUGAAUCAGUAUGUGUGUUAGUGGAAGCGUCUGGAAAGGCGCGCGAUACAGGGUGACAGCCCCGUACACAAAAAUGCACAUGCUGUGAGCUCGAUGAGUAGGGCGGGACACGUGGUAUCCUGUCUGAAUAUGGGGGGACCAUCCUCCAAGGCUAAAUACUCCUGACUGACCGAUAGUGAACCAGUACCGUGAGGGAAAGGCGAAAAGAACCCCGGCGAGGGGAGUGAAAAAGAACCUGAAACCGUGUACGUACAAGCAGUGGGAGCACGCUUAGGCGUGUGACUGCGUACCUUUUGUAUAAUGGGUCAGCGACUUAUAUUCUGUAGCAAGGUUAACCGAAUAGGGGAGCCGAAGGGAAACCGAGUCUUAACUGGGCGUUAAGUUGCAGGGUAUAGACCCGAAACCCGGUGAUCUAGCCAUGGGCAGGUUGAAGGUUGGGUAACACUAACUGGAGGACCGAACCGACUAAUGUUGAAAAAUUAGCGGAUGACUUGUGGCUGGGGGUGAAAGGCCAAUCAAACCGGGAGAUAGCUGGUUCUCCCCGAAAGCUAUUUAGGUAGCGCCUCGUGAAUUCAUCUCCGGGGGUAGAGCACUGUUUCGGCAAGGGGGUCAUCCCGACUUACCAACCCGAUGCAAACUGCGAAUACCGGAGAAUGUUAUCACGGGAGACACACGGCGGGUGCUAACGUCCGUCGUGAAGAGGGAAACAACCCAGACCGCCAGCUAAGGUCCCAAAGUCAUGGUUAAGUGGGAAACGAUGUGGGAAGGCCCAGACAGCCAGGAUGUUGGCUUAGAAGCAGCCAUCAUUUAAAGAAAGCGUAAUAGCUCACUGGUCGAGUCGGCCUGCGCGGAAGAUGUAACGGGGCUAAACCAUGCACCGAAGCUGCGGCAGCGACGCUGAUGCGUUGUUGGGUAGGGGAG